rnacentral:lncRNA from 1 species
AUGACCUGGCAUUUGGACCUUGCCAGUGCCCCCUGGCCUGGCUACCUGCUGUGUCCUCUAUGUCGCCUCUUGCCAGGAGCAAGAUGGAUCGGGAUAAUUUGGCUGUCAGCCACGUUGAAUGACGAGCCGUCAGCUAAGCCUGCAGACGCCCCACUUCUGGAAGCGCAUCGGACAAGAACUGAUGGAGCUGGAAAUGAAUACAAAGAAUGUGUGAGUUUAGCAGUACUGAAAUAUGUUUGGUUUUGUGGUUGUAUUUUCUUUUUUUUUUUUUACAAAAUAAAAAACUUAAGAGCCAUUACCAAAAAGCCAUUUGCUCUUCAUUGCCUAGUAAUCAUUCAAUACUGAGAAUGUAGGAAGUGCUUCAGUGAUAAUGGCCGAAUAUAAAUCCUUCAUUACACGCAAUCUAUCAGCAGUGUGCUCUCCUUUGAGCGCUGGCUGUGUUUAAUAAGAAAGACCUUCCCUUUUCAUCGGAGGCAGCCUGACUCUGUAGCCUCUGCAUGACACCAGCACAGCACUAAUACCUUCCUUGUAUUGCAGAGCAAAAACCGCAUCAAUGCCGAAAUGAAGUGAACACAAUGCUGCGUGCACGAAAGCGCACGCACGCACACACACACACACACACACACGCACACACACACACACACACACACACACACACACACACACACACACACACACACACACACACACACACACACACACACACAUAUAAUUUCCUUUGCCUGUCUUGCGAAAAAAAAACAUUUCUCACUGUUUAAUAAACACACAUAGA